CCCUUAGACCCUCUAGGCGGCACGCGCGCUACAAUGGGUGGAAGAACGUGUUACUGCCUCCGAAAGGAGGGGUGAAUCACGAAUUCUUGCCCGUGAAUGGGAUAGUUUGUUGCAAUUUUCGGACUUGAACUAGGAAUCCCUUGUAAACAUGCUCAAGAAUAGCGUGUUGAAUACGUCCCUGCCGUUUGUACACACCGCCCGUCGUUUCUUCCGACUGAUACUCAUUGUGAGUUGCAAGGACCCUUUAUUGGGAAAUUGCUGCAAAUGCUUUGUAUUGGAGGAAGAAAAAGUCGUAACA
rnacentral:rRNA from 1 species